UACGUAGGGGGCUAGCGUUGUCCGGAAUCAUUGGGCGUAAAGCGCGUGUAGGCGGCCCGGUAAGUCCGCUGUGAAAGUCGGGGGCUCAACCCUCGAAAGCCGGUGGAUACUGUCGGGCUCGAGUGUGGAAGAGGCGAGUGGAAUUCCUGGUGUAGCGGUGAAAUGCGCAGAUAUCAGGAGGAACACCGAUUGCGAAGGCAGCUCGCUGGGACGUUACUGACGCUGAGACGCGAAAGCGUGGGGAGCAAACAGG
rnacentral:rRNA from 1 species